rnacentral:tRNA from 1 species
CAUUAAGAAGCUAAAUAUGGACAAGCAUUAGCCUUUUAAGCUAAAAGCAGGUGGCCACCACCCACCCUUAGUGA